rnacentral:rRNA from 1 species
AGCAUAUCAAUAAGCGGAGGAAAAGAAACCAACCGGGAUUGCCUCAGUAACGGCGAGUGAAGCGGCAAGAGCUCAAAUUUGAAAUCUGGCCCCUCUGGGGUCCGAGUUGUAAUUUGCAGAGGAUGCUUCGGGUGCGGUCCCCGUCUAAGUGCCCUGGAACGGGCCGUCAUAGAGGGUGAGAAUCCCGUCUGGGAUGGGCGGCCGCGCCCGUGUGAAGCUCCUUCGACGAGUCGAGUUGUUUGGGAAUGCAGCUCUAAGCGGGUGGUAAAUUUCAUCUAAAGCUAAAUACUGGCCGGAGACCGAUAGCGCACAAGUAGAGUGAUCGAAAGAUGAAAAGCACUUUGAAAAGAGAGUUAAAUAGCACGUGAAAUUGUUGAAAGGGAAGCGUUGUCCACCAGACUCGCCCGGGGGGGCUCAGCCGGCACGUGUGCCGGUGUACUCCUCUCCGGGCGGGCCAGCAUCGGUUUGGGCGGCUGGUGAAAGGCCCCGGGAAUGUACCACCCUCCGGGGUGUCUUAUAGCCCGGGGUGCCAUGCAGCCAGCCUGGACCGAGGCCCGCGCUUCGGCGAGGAUGCUGGCGUAAUGGUGGUCAACGGCCCGUCUUGAAACACGGACCAAGGAGUCUAACAUCUAUGCGAGUGUUCGGGUGUCAAACCCGUCCGCGCAGUGAAAGCGAACGGAGGUGGGAGCCUUUCGGGGCGCACCAUCGACCGAUCCUGAAGUCUUCGGAUGGAUUUGAGUAAGAGCAUAGCUGUUGGGACCCGAAAGAUGGUGAACUAUGCCUGAAUAGGGCGAAGCCAGAGGAAACUCUGGUGGAGGCUCGCAGCGGUUCUGACGUGCAAAUCGAUCGUCAAAUUUGGGUAUAGGGGCGAAAGACUAAUCGAACCAUCUGGUAGCUGGUUCCUGCCGAU